rnacentral:rRNA from 1 species
GAUGAACGCUGGCGGCGUGCCUAAUACAUGCAAGUCGAGCGAACAGACGAGGUGCUUGCUCCUCUGACGUUAGCGGCGGACGGGUGAGUAACACGUGGUUAACCUACCUAUAAGACUGGGAUAACUUCGGGAAACCGGAGCUAAUACCGGAUAAUAUAUUGAACUGCAUGGUUCAAUAGUGAAAGACGCUUUUGCUGUCACUUAUAGAUGGUUACGCGCCGCAUUAGCUAGUUGGUAAGGUAACGGCUUACCAAGGCAACGAUGCGUAGCCGACCUGAGAGGGUGAUCGGCCACACUGGAACUGAGACACGGUCCACACUCCUACGGGAGGCAGCAGUAGGGAAUCUUCCGCAAUGGACGAAAGCCUAACGGAGCAACGCCGCGUGAGUGAUGAAGGUCUUCUGAUCGUAAAACUCUGUUAUUAGGAAAGAACAAAUGUUUAAGUAACUAUGCACAUAUUGACGGUACCUAAUCAAAAAGCCACGGCUAACUACGUG